UUUGUGGUGGGAAGAGUGUUUGAAAAAGUUUGUUACAGGGUUGUAUUGUGCUUUCAAGUGUGUAUUGAUAUUAUUUUGGGCUUUUUGUUUAAACAGAACCCCCAUAUUACAAGUAAGCUCAGAACCAGCAGAACUUAUGGCUGGCAGAACGUGUCCCGCAUCGUUGGAGAAUGCCGCAGCCAUGAGACGACCCUGUGAACACAAUCAGCCAUUUCAUGAAGACUUGGAACAGUGGUGAAUCUUCCCAGAAGUGGCCGGCCUGCCAAAAUUUCUCCAAGGGCACUGUGACAAGUCACAAAAAAUCCCAGAAGAGCGUCCAAAGAACUGCAGGCCACUCUGACUUCAGAUAAGUGCUCAUGACUCCAUGAUAAGAAAGAGAUGGGGCAAAAAUGGGAUUCAUGGGAGCAUAGCAAGCCGGAAACCACUGCUAACUAAACCAAACAUCAAUGCGCAUCGCACAUUUGCAAAGAAAGCACCUGGAUGAUCCCCAAGCCUUUUUGGAUAAUGUUCUAUGAAUGGAUGAGUCAAAAGGGGAACUUUUUGGACGAUACAGGUCCCAUCAUGUCUGGCAUAAAGCAAAUACAGCCAGAACAUCAUAGCAACAGUCAAACAUAGUAGUGGUAGAGUGAUGAGGUGGGCAUGCUUCGCUGCCUCAGGACCUGGAAAUCUUGCCAAUAUGGAAGGAACCAUAAAUUCUGCUCUGCACCAUAACAUUCUUAAGGAGAAUGUCCGGUCAUCUGUCCAUAAUUGGGUUAUGCAGCAAGACGAUGAUCCAAAACAGAUAAGCAAGUCCACAUCUGAAUGGCUGCAAAGAACCAAAAUUAAAAUUUUGUAGUGGCCUAGUCAAAGUUCUGACCCAAUUGAGAUGCUAUGGCAUGACCUGAAAUAAGCAGUUCAUGCUCAAAAUUCUACCGGUUUGUCUGAAUUGAAGCAGUUUUACAAAGAAUAGUAUGCUAAAAUUCCUGUAAAAGACUGUUAUGAAGUUAUAGGAAGUGUUUGGUUACAGUUAUUGCAGCUAAAGGUGGGGCAAACAUUUAUUAAGUUUAAGGGGCAAUUACUUUUUCACAUGGGAGAUAUUGGUGUUUGAUAACUUGUUCAUUAAAUAUAUUUUGUUUUGGAUUUACUCAGGUUUCCUUUGUCGAAUGUUUCAUUUUGUCUAUAGAUCUGAAACCAUUCAAUGUGAAAAUAUGCAAUAAUAGAGAAAAUUAGGAAGGGGCAAAUGGCACAGAACUGUAUGAUGUGCUCAUAGUCAUUUAAUAACAUCAGCGUUGAAGCUCUUCUGAUGGCUGGGGCUGUAUGCCAGGGAUAAAGCAAACACCAAAGCAUGCAGGAUAACGUUACAUUUGAUCUAACAUCAGUAAUGGUGAGAUUUGUGACACACACUAACCUAAUGUUAAUGCUUGGCUGAUAAUAAAAUGUAUCCGAAAUGAACCAAAGGGUGCUUUUUCUUUUGCACGCUGUGAUUUUUCUUAAAUUUGUAUACCUUCAUGAAAAUUUAUAGAAAUUUCUUAUCACUUUGAUAGAAUACAGUCCUUUGUGCAGUUGUCAUACAAAACUUCCCAAAUAAUAGCUUGAAAUAAUUUCGCACAAUAAAAUGUGCAGAAAACCAACCUUUUCCAAUAUUUUGUCCACCACUAGUA